CCACCACGAAGGAAGGGAAUCGAGCUUGAGCUGGAGCAGCAGCAAAAAUGGAUGAUGGUGCGCGAUGGGAUUCUCCUCCCUCCUCCUCCUUCCUCCUCCUCCUUCUCUUUCGUCUCAUUCAUUCAUAGAUCUCGUGGUUGCCGCGGCAAUCGACGACGGUGAUGUCUGCAUGGCAUGGCUCAGUGUUGCAGGUCGCCGCGGGGAUCCUGAAAUCGUGCGAGGCUGCGUCGAUUCCCGCACAUCGUCACUCUCUCUCUCACUCUCUCACACUCUGUCUGCCUGUCUAGAUCUCUGCUGAUCUCGCUGCUCAUUUUCGCAUAUCUGUCCGUUGCGUUUCCUCCUCCUCCUCCUUCUCCUCCCCGGCGCUGUCUCUCUCUCUCUCACUCAUGUUGCUUGGCUUGGCUUGGCUUUGCUCCAUUUCUAGUCCCACUAAACAUC
rnacentral:lncRNA from 1 species